AGUGAACGCUGGCGGUAGGCCUAACACAUGCAAGUCGAACGGCAGCACAGUAAGAGCUUGCUCUUACGGGUGGCGAGUGGCGGACGGGUGAGGAAUACAUCGGAAUCUACUUUUUCGUGGGGGAUAACGUAGGGAAACUUACGCUAAUACCGCAUACGACCUACCGGUGAAAGCAGGGGAUCUUCGGACCUUGCGCGAUUGAAUGAGCCGAUGUCGGAUUAGCUAGUUGGCGGGGUAAAGGCCCACCAAGGCGACGAUCCGUAGCUGGUCUGAGAGGAUGGUAGGCCACCCUGGAACUGGGACCCGGUCCCGACUCCUACGGGAGGCACCAGUGGGGAAUAUUGGGCAAUGGGCGCAAGCCUGAUCCAGCCAUACCGCGUGGGUGAAGAAGGCCUUCGGGUUGUAAAGCCCUUUUGUUGGGAAAGAAAAGCAGCAGGUUAAUACCACGCUGUUCUGACGGUACCCAAAGAAUAAGCACCGGCUAACCUCGUG
rnacentral:rRNA from 1 species